rnacentral:lncRNA from 10 species
CCCAAGCUGGAGUGCAGUGGCGGAAUCACAGCUCACUGCAGCCUCGACUUCCCGGGCUUAAGGGAUCCUCCUACCUCAGCCUCAAGAGUAGCUGGGACCACAGCCUCCCAAGUAGCUGGGACCACAGGCUCGCUAAUUUUUUGUAGAGAUGAGGUUUCGCCAUGUUGCCCAGGCUGGUCUCGAAUUCCUGAGCUCAAGCGAUCUGCCCACCUCGACCUCCUAAAGUGCUAGGAGGUCUUUAAAGGCGUGCACCACUGCGCCCCACCAUCUGAUGGUGUUUAGUAGAGGGUUUUGAAUGUCAACUAUGAACGUUGGAGGUUACCUCUGUUCCCUCACGAAGUCCUGGUGGCACCCAGGAGGCCACCCUGAGGCACAAACUAACUGUCAUGUACAGUCAGAUCAACGGGGCGUCGAGAGCACUGGAUGAUGUGAGAAACAGG